UGUAUAGAGAUAUACCCUUUACUUCGGUAACAGUAUUACAGGUGGUGCAUGGUUGUCGUCAGCUCGUGUCGUGAGAUGUUGGGUUAAGUCCCGUAACGAGCGCAACCCUUGUCUUUAGUUGCUAACAGGUCAAGCUGAGCCCUCUAGAGAGACUGCCGAUGAUAAAUCGGAGGAAGGUGGGGAUGACGUCAAAUCAUCAUGCCCUUUAUGUCCUGGGCUACACACGUGCUACAAUGGUCGGUACAACGAGGAGCUACCUAGCGAUAGGAUGCAAAUCUCUAAAAGCCGAUCCCAGUUCGGAUUGCAGGCUGCAACUCGCCUGCAUGAAGCCGGAGUUGCUAGUAAUCGCGGAUCAGAAUGUCGCGGUGAAUGCGUUCCCGGGUCUUGUACACACCGCCCGUCACACCAUGGGAGUUGGAAAUGCCCGAAGCCAGUGAGCUAACCCGUAAGGGAGGCAGCUGUCGAAGGUAGGGUCAAUGACUAGGGUGAAGUCGUAACAAGGUAUCA
rnacentral:rRNA from 1 species